rnacentral:siRNA from 1 species
AUCAAACGCCUGAUGCACUAGUUG